rnacentral:tRNA from 1 species
UCUCCUGUAGCUCAAUGGUAGAGCGUCCGACCGGUGUGAGGAAGGUCAUAGGUUCGACUCCUGUUGAGAA